rnacentral:rRNA from 1 species
CCUACGGGUGGCAGCAGUGAGGAAUAUUGGUCAAUGGACGGAACUCUGAACCAGCGACGCCGCGUGAAGGACGACUGCUCUAGGAGUUGUAAACUUCUUUUGUACCGGAGUAAAAUGAUGCACGAGUUGAUUUUUGAGCGUACUUUACGAAUAAGCAUCGGCUAACUCCGUGCCAGCAGCCGCGGUAAUACGGAGGAUUCGCGCGUUAUCCGGAUUGAUUGGGGUUAAAGGGAGCGUAGGUGGGUUGUUAAGUCAGCUGUGAAAGUACGAGGCUCAAACGUGGGGCUGCAGUGGAUACUGUAGGACUAGAGUACAGAUGAGGUAGGCGGAAUGCGUAGUGUAGCGGUGAAAUGCAUAGAUAUUACGAAGAACACCGAUUGCGAAGGCAGCUUGCUAGACUGUAACUGACAUUGAUGCUCGAAAGUGUGGGGAUCAAACAGGAUUAGAUACCCCUGUAGUC